rnacentral:rRNA from 1 species
CCUACGGGAGGCAGCAGUGAGGAAUAUUGGUCAAUGGGCGGAAGCCUGAACCAGCCAAGUAGCGUGCAGGAUGACGGCCCUACGGGUUGUAAACUGCUUUUAUACGGGAAUAACGCGCCUUACGUGUAGGGCUUUGCAUGUACCUUAUGAAUAAGGACCGGCUAAUUCCGUGCCAGCAGCCGCGGUAAUACGGAAGGUCCGGGCGUUAUCCGGAUGUAUUGGGUUUAAAGGGAGCGUAGGCCGGAUGUCAAGCGUGCUGUGAAAUGUCCGGGCUCAACCCGGGCAUUGCAGCGCGUACUGGCGGGCUUGAGUCCGCUGAAAGCAGGCGGAAGUCGUGGUGUAGCGGUGAAAUGCUUAGAUAUGACGAAGAACCCCGAUUGCGAAGGCAGCUUGCUGCAGCGGAACUGACGCUGAUGCUCGAAAGCGCGGGUAUCGAACAGGAUUAGAUACCCGAGUAGUC